GAUGAAGAACGUAGCGAAAUGCGAUAAGUAAUGCGAAUUGCAGAAUUCAGUGAAUCAUCGAAUCUUUGAACGCACAUUGCGCCCGCUAGUAUUCUGGCGGGCAUGCCUGUCUGAGCGUCAUUUCAACCCUCGCCCCCGGGUUUGGUGUUGGGGAUCGGCUCUGCCUUCUGGCGGUGCCGCCCCCGAAAUACAUUGGCGGUCUCGCUGCAGCCUCCAUUGCGUAGUAGCUAACACCUCGCAACUGGAACGCGGCGCGGCCAUGCCGUAAAACCCCAACUUCUGAAUGUUGACCUCGGAUCAGGUAGGAAUACCCGCUGAACUUAAGCAUAUCAAUAAGCGGAGGA
rnacentral:misc_RNA from 1 species